rnacentral:rRNA from 1 species
GAUGAACGCUGGCGGCGCGCCUAACACAUGCAAGUCGAACGGCACCCCUCCUCGGAGGGGCGCGAGUGGCGAGCGGCUGAGUAACGCGUGGAGAACCUGCCCCCUCCCCCGGGUUAGCCGCCCGCAAGGACGGGUAAUACCGGAUACCCCGGGAUGCCACAUGCCACCCCGACCAAAGCCCCGACGGGAGGGGAUGGCUCCGCGGCCCAUCAGGUAGACGACGGGGUGGGGGCGCCCCGUGCCCACCAUGGGUAGCCGGGGUGACAGACCGGCGGGCCAGAUCGGGAGGGAGACACGGCUCAGACUUCUACGGGAGGGAGCAGUGGGGAAUCUUGGGCAAAGGGGGGAACCCUGGCGGGGCGACGCGGCGUGCGGGACGGAGGCCUUCGGGGCGUAAACCGCUGUCAGCAGGGAAGAGUCAAGACGGUACCUGCAGAAGAAGCCCCGGCUAACUACGUG